rnacentral:lncRNA from 1 species
CCAUUCCCAUAGUUGAUAGUGCUAAGCCUAAGGCAAUUCUCUGUAGGCUGCUGAAACCUGUAGCACCAGAAAGAAUUGAAAUGGUAAUUAUAUUGAAAUAAAUUAUAGCAUGAUUUAGUAUGUCAUUUAUUAUUUUCCUAAUACAUACAUACCUGGUUUUCCUUUCCAUUUCUUCCAUAAUGGCAUAACGAGACGGUCAUAAACAGCCAGAGUGAUCAAUAUAGCUGCCACAAAGAAGACAGUGAGGGAACCUGCAGGAAUUUGGAAACCUCCAACUGAUCUUUCCAUGGUGGAGGCUUGCUCCACUGAAAAGGUCAUCAUUUGUGCGUAAGUGGUCCAAAAUAAGAUGGUUGUG